ensembl:snoRNA
GUGACCUUUUAAGGUAGACCCUGUUUUUUAAGAGGCUAACACAGAAUGGUAAAGUAAGUCUCCAUAAAACCCAGAGAAGAGACUGUGAAACUCCCCUUUGGACGCCGUAUGAAGUCAUAGCA